GAUGAAGAACGUAGUGAAAUGCGAUAAGUAAUGUGAAUUGCAGAAUUCAGUGAAUCAUCGAAUCUUUGAACGCACCUUGCGCCCUUUGGACAUUCCGAAGGGCAUGCCUGUUUGAGUAUCAUGAACACCUCAACUCUCACGGCUUGUCCGUGAUGAGCUUGGACUUUGGGGGUCUUGCCGGCCUGUGGUCGGCUCCUCUCAAAUGGAUCAGCUUGCCAGUGUUUGGUGGCAUCACAGGUGUGAUAACUAUCUGCGCUUGUGGUUUUCCAUCAGAUAACCUUCAGUGAUAUGGAGGUUCGCUGGAGCUCACAAAUGACUCUCCUUAGUGAGGACAGCUCUUUGAACGUUUGAUCUCAAAUCAGGUAGGACUACCCGCUGAACUUAAGCAUAUCAAUAAGCGGAGGA
rnacentral:misc_RNA from 1 species